rfam:Cricetulus griseus cell line CHO-K1, whole genome shotgun sequence.
GCUAGCUCAGUCGGUAGAGUAUGAGACUCUUAAUCUCAGGGUCGUGGGUUCCUGCCCCACGUUGGGCA